rnacentral:rRNA from 1 species
CAGUCGCCGCGGGAACACGGAGGGGGCUAGCGUUGUUCGGAAUUACUGGGCGUAAAGCGCACGUAGGCGGCUUGGUAAGUUAGAGGUGAAAGCCCGGAGCUCAACUCCGGAAUUGCCUUUAAGACUGCCGAGCUAGUAGGUGAGAGAGGUAAGUGGAAUUCCGAGUGUAGAGGUGAAAUUCGUAGAUAUUCGGAAGAACACCAGUGGCGAAGGCGGCUUACUGGCUCAUUCUAGACGCUGAGGUGCGAAAGCGUGGGGAGCAAACAGGAUUAGAUACCCGGGUAGUCCCUGUCUCUUAUAC